UACAGAGGGGGCAAGCGUUGUUCGGAAUUACUGGGCGUAAAGGGCGCGUAGGCGGCCCGCUAAGUCGAACGUGAAAUCCCCGGGCUUAACUCGGGAACUGCGUCUGAUACUGGAAGGCUCGAGUUCGGGAGAGGAAUGUGGAAUUCCAGGUGUAGCGGUGAAAUGCGUAGAUAUCUGGAGGAACACCGAUGGCGAAGGCAAUCCCCUGGGCCUGUACUGACGCUCAUGCACGAAAGCGUGGGGAGCGAACAGG
rnacentral:rRNA from 1 species